UACGUAGGGUGCGAGCGUUAAUCGGAAUUACUGGGCGUAAAGCGUGCGCAGGCGGUUUUGUAAGCCAGAUGUGAAAUCCCCGGGCUCAACCUGGGAAUGGCAUUUGGGACUGCAAGGCUUGAGUGCGGCAGAGGAGACUGGAAUUCCUGGUGUAGCAGUGAAAUGCGUAGAUAUCAGGAGGAACACCGAUUGCGAAGGCAGCUCGCUGGAACGUUACUGACGCUGAGACGCGAAAGCGUGGGGAGCAAACAGG
rnacentral:rRNA from 1 species